UGUCUUCGGAGAAUGCUGAAUAAUGUGCGGAGAAUUUAAUUAAACCCUGUUGUAAAUCAGCUAUGAUGACAGGGAACUGACAACCACAUGUUGAAAUGAGAAUUAGUCCACAGCGAGGGAUAUUAAUUAACUCCUUUUCUGAAGGCCUUUGGCACAGAGUGGCAUUUUAAAAAACAUAAGAGGAGGAACCAAGCAGCGCUUUGGCAUGGGGAGGGGACUGUGCCUGUAAUUAUUAUUUAUAAUCAUUAUUAUUUAUGGCUGGAAUUUCUGCAGUCGCCUAAUGCAGCUAAUGAUCGGGACAGCGAACAACGAGAUUAAACAGUUCUUCCCCUGGGAGCCAGGUAGAAAUCAGCGGCACCAUAGGACGCCAGGGGAUGAGGGGGUCCCUUUGGAAAACAGGAGCAUUGUUUUAAGCUGCGUCCAACUCUCCUCCAGAUUUGGACUCAGGAAGAAGAUACAGACGUGCGGGAAUUGCGAACGCACAGACCUCGCAGAUGAGAGCGGCCUCGGAAAUCGCGAGGCCUAACCCCACUCACCUCCGGGAGGAGGAGGAGACGGAGGCCCAGGGAGAUUAGAGAUCCUGCCCAAGGUCGUGGGCUAAUCCGGGCAGAGCGAGGGUGCAGCGUGACCCUAUGCCUGGGUCAACAGAGCAGAGUCCCCCAGAGUCUGGAAAUGCUGAGGACGUGGAUGGGCCGAGGAUGGAAAGGGGCUGCUGUGGGCCUCGGGGUGAUGGCAAGGCCGCGUUUGUCUGACGACGCUAAAGCUGUAGGUGAAAGACCGAGCAGACCGGGGUGGCGUGGGGACCCUCGCUGGGACCCCCCGCUCGGCCCUCCGCUCGGCCUUCCCCUGGCCCAGAAACAAGGCUGCGUGUGAAGACGAACACGUGGCCAACAGGUGUCCCUCCGCGGGGAGGGGACAUCAUCGCUCUGGGAAGAACCUGACCUUCCUGUGAGGACGGACCACUUGGUGCAUCCCGCCGCCUGGAACCUGUCACUGGGUUACAGGAGCCGCGCGACACGCACCACUGGCGAUCCGGAACCGGGCCGGGAACGCGCACCGCCUUCCGCCUGCAGGUGACUGCAGCCAGAGGCGAGCGCGGGUGCCCAGGGUGUGCACUGUGCCGGCACCCUAUUGGUUCCCUGGGUUGGUGAUGGACAACUGUAGCAGCCAAUCGAGAGCUUGAAAGGGCGGGACGUGAGUUGUAUUAGAGAAGGUCCCAGGGGGGCCUGACCCUCCCCCUCCCCACGUGGGCGGACGGGGGGCCUCCUGUCCCACGGGGGUGAGACUCCGAAGAGGGCGUCAGGACACAGUCGUUACAACCCUCCCCAAGGUCGGAGGUGGCUGAUUCAGAUGCAAGCCUCAGCUUCAGGGUCUCAGGUGUGCGUGUGCGUGUGUCCCCGAUGCUGGGGACCCCCAGGGGUCCCCAAGGAAGCGUGGCUGGCGGCAGGCGUGGAAGUUAGGCCAACAGCUCUCUUGGCCGAGUCGAAGAUGCAUCCACAGGCAGAGCGUCCCGUGGGUUUGGUUUGGAUGAUGUUAUCUGCAAGGUCAGGGACUUAACAGAAGCUUAGCUUAAUCCCCGGGGCCCUGCAGUUCCUGUGUCAAAGUCACUGACCCAGAGGUACAGGGCCUUGGCUCGCGGGGAGCCCAUCUGAUCUGGGUCAGCCAGAGCCGUACGACACAGGCAUUUUUGCGCCUCCUGACAAGGUCUGGCUGGCAGUUAGAAGGAAACGUUCUUGUUACUACGUCCCCGCUGAGCGGCAGUCCCUGGCCUCUCCGGAAGCCGUGCUGCACAGCUCACCUGUUUGUGGCCUUGGGUGAGGUCUCACGGGACCCGGCAAGGCUGGGAGGAGAGCAGCCUCGUGUUUCCGCUGGAGAACGAACUGGCGGCAUCGCAACCGCCAGGCCCAGCCCCAAAAGGCUGAAGGCCACGGCCAGGUACGGGGUGGGGGCAGCGAGUUCAGGUGGGAGCCCAAUCCGGAUCUUUCUGGCCCUGCCUGACCUUGCGGGAUUCAGCCGCAGCUUCGACACCUCCCUCCUGCUUGCCGGCCACCAACACCCGGAAGCUGGUCCCCAGGCCCCACCCCUUCCCCAGGCGGGGCCGGCUCAAGCAGGCCCCGCCCACCGGCUCCGGCCCCGGAGGAGGUCCCCUCCAAACAGGUCACAGCCCCUCUGCGUUCCCUGGUCUCUCUGUGGGCACCCUCCUUCCCGAGCUGCCUGCCACCUUGAGUGUACCCUUGCUUUCCCAGCUCCCCCUCCUCUGCCGUCCUGCCCCCUCCCUGCCCUUUCCUCGGCAUGGCCUGGGGUUCUGGAGUCCCUAAAGAAAUGGAGACGGCUGACCAUGCUGAGGCUGGAUCCAGUGACUGCGUCCAGUGGCUCCCAGGACUGAUCUGUGCUCUCCUCUGGGAGCGGACUAAGUAGGCACGUGGACCAGCCAUUCGGAGCAAGACUCGAUCUCUGUGCGUGUCAGUUGCAGAUUCCCAGGGUAGUGCCCCCAUCUGUCCAUUUGGCAUUCUGUCUGCUUGCUCCCAGAACGUCGCCUCUGUCCCCAACACUGCUGUGGGCUAGGAUAUUGGAAACAUCCUCGGAGCCGGAAUAAUCCAUCCUCCCCAGGUGACACUGCAUUAAAGGCAAGACGCUUGUGUUUGGAGAAUAGAGACCACGUCGUGUCCCCAAGCACGGACAGGAGAGAUCUGGGCCUCCCCUCUGCCCACUCUCCCAGCAUCUGCCCCCGGGGUCGGGCACCAGGGACGUGCGGGGAGUCUAUUAAUCUAAGUGGAAGGCAAAAGGUCUCUUUCCAGGGCUCUGGGCUUUGCAGACCUUUCCUUAAACAAACAGGACAAUUUAUUUGUCUUCGGUCAAACUACGCAGAGGUCAAGGGGCUGGUGACCCCUUUUAGUUUGCAGUGAUGGGGUCACUAGGUUAUUUGCUCAUGGGCCAGGACGAUCCCCAGUCGGGGGAGAAGUGGCUCAUGGUAGUUAGACCUCAGCCCCUUGCCUGCCUUGCAUCUGUCAUCCUGACCGCAUAGGCAGCCUGUGAUGGGCUCACACCGUUCCUCAACACGCCUCUCAGCGCACGGUCUUUCUUUUCCAAAUCCUCACCUCGCCUCUGUUUGGUGCCCUUCCCCCACCCCCCACCUUCUCUCCUAAGCUGUUACCCCUCUGGGCCCCCAGGGAGUAUUCUCAGCAUGCUGGAUGACCCGCAAGGAUGUCGGCGCACGUCCUACCCAGCGACCCUCUCUCUGGACGGCACAAACCUCCAGGGAAGAGAGGCCAAGGAGGCGCCGCUCCGGUCCGUCAGGCCCCUGGUUUGCAAAUGAAGAGCUGCCCUCAACAUGUGUGUAAGUUAGAACAUGGAAAAGGCUCGUCCUGAGGGCCCGAAACGGCAUAGCUGUGGAAUAAAUUGUUUUGAAAGUAA